CGGCGGACGGGUGAGUAACACGUGGAUAACCUACCUAUAAGACUGGGAUAACUUCGGGAAACCGGAGCUAAUACCGGAUAAUAUAUUGAACCGCAUGGUUCAAUAGUGAAAGACGGUUUUGCUGUCACUUAUAGAUGGAUCCGCGCCGCAUUAGCUAGUUGGUAAGGUAACGGCUUACCAAGGCAACGAUGCGUAGCCGACCUGAGAGGGUGAUCGGCCAUACUGGAACUGAGACACGGUCCAG
rnacentral:rRNA from 1 species